rnacentral:lncRNA from 1 species
CAUUUGUAUGUGUCCCUUACAAAUUCCUGCUAAGGUUCGUUAUGACUCUUCCCUUCCUGUUUUGUUCCUAAGACCAGAGCUAAGCUGCCAGCAGGAGAUUCCUUUAAACAAUGAUUCUUCUCCAGUCUUGUCCAGCUGCUGGCUAUAGUCCCAGCUGUGUAAAAAGGAAAAGGGUAGUGGCCAUCAGACAUGAAAGCCCAUGAUUCAAAGCAUUUUUUCAACAACUUUCUGCGUGACCAGCACAGAUCUCAGGUAAACUGAUCUUGAAUAUUCAAGGUACAGGAUGAAAUUAGGUAGGGCUAUUCAGCAUAUUUUAUAAAUACUUAUUCUGAUUGUUUCUAUAGCUAUAUUUUAGGAGGAGCUUAAAUAUGCAAAACAAAAAAAUAAUGAAUAACUGAAUAAUGAUGAAAAAAGGACAUAAAAAGUCAGAUAUAAAGAGAUAUACUGUCUUCCUAAUCAUCUGCUCUUCUCCAUUUGUAGGAUCCUGGGAAGCUGUGUGCCCAUUGUCUAUGGCACACUCCGGCCCUCUUUGACUGAGCUGGAUAGGAGAUACUUAUUUUGCCAUGAACUACAUCAUCCCAGGAUUCUGCUAUCUCUUGGUGUAUCUUCUGAGGAAGCACACAUUGAGUCAAGGUUUG